ensembl:misc_RNA Metazoa_SRP Metazoan signal recognition particle RNA
GCCGGGCGCGGUAGUGUGUGCCUAUAGUCCCAGCUACUCGGGCGGCUGAGGUGGGAGAAUCGCUUGAGCACAGGAGCUCUGGGCUGUAGCACGCUAUGCCAAUCGGGUGUCCGCACUAAGUUCGGCAUCAAUAUGGUGACCUCCCGGGAGCAGGGGACCACCAGGUUGCCUAAGGAGCGGUGAACCGGCCCAGGUCGGAAAUGGAGCAGGUCAAAACUCCCGUGCUGAUCAGUAGUGGGAUCACACUUGUGAAUAGCCACUGCACUCCAGCCGGGACAACUAUUUUUUAAGACCCCAUGUCUU